AGGAUCGCCCCGGGUGGCGUUGCUUGCGAGCAGGCGGUGUCUCCGGGGAGAAAGGCGAAAGCGUUCGGUCACCGCGGUGUGACCGUCAUCGAGAAACUGCAUUUUCCGACGGGAAUGGGAAAGUUUGGUGAUCAUGGAACACAACCGGAUCUCAGUAAGACAUCUUAAAAACAAGUCCGUGUAAUCAAGUAAUCAAGGACGUGGAAUUUACAGUGGCAUGUUUUCUUUUUAAUUGGGAUUUUAGCAGAUGUGGUUGGUGGCAGUUAGGCUUGCCUCCAGGAUUCUCUUCUAUGGAUUUUCCCACAAAGCAUCUCUUCAAU